GAGUAGCGGUUGGGGCUGUGGUGUGCGCCGCUUCCCGAGGGCGGGCGGGGGGAUGCCUGCGCUUCUCUUUUAUGCUGGGCUGCUGGGGAGGUCUGCCCGGAGUGCCGCUCGCCUAGUGCUAGAGGCUGGAGCUGGCGAGCGAGGCGCGCACGUUGGAGCAGCGGCCGCGGACAGGUGCAGGCUAGCGGCGGGGCCGUCCGGUGGUGCAUGGCUCCCCGCUGCUGCCGCCGUUGCGGAGGAGAGUGGAUGGAGGGAUGGACUACAUGUUCCAGAACACCGCGCGCCCUCGCGGAGAGGAAGGCGGUGGCGUAACAUGGCCAGUUGCCUCUGCAGGAAGUGGUGUCCUGUGGCGCGGGGCACGCUGGGGCCUGUAGUUUGCGGCAGCGGUCGGCGAGGGCGGCGGGCACCAUCUUGCUCUGAUGAGGGCGGCGCCCGGCGAGGCGCGGCUGGCCUGCGCCAUUUUGAUCGCUUGCAGGCCCGGCCGGCGGUAGGGGGCCGUGUCGGGUGCCCUCGGGCUGAUUGUAUGGAAGAUGCUGCUUGCCGGCGGCAUCGGCUGUGGUUGGGAGCCGGCUCUUGCCUGGGUGGUGCUGGCUUUCGUUUCAUUCCCUUGCCUUUUGAGUUCACACUUAAAAUGCUGGUUAAUGCUGAGGAAUGAAAUCGACCUAAACAUCACCAUGGGAAUGAGGUGUUCUAGUAUGAUGGAGGAGUUUUCAGUGGUGUCCAGUGUAGAAGCAUUAAGAGGAAAAUUAUCAAAAAUGUAGGAACAAAUGCUUUUAGCUUAUUAAGUGAUGAGUUGGAACACUUUGCCAGUGCUGCCUUACAAAUGUGGAUGAUCUGUAACUGAAAGGAAGAGUAACACCGGAAGAGUUUUUUGGUUUUUUUUUGGCUUGGAGUGGGAUGCUGUGCUUUUAAAAGCCUGCUGAAACAGCUGCUGCAGUUUCAUUUAGUGGAUACUGUUCUCAAAAGCUGCGUGUUAACCAAAAUCACACACUCUGCAUAUUUAAAACAGUGCUUUUCCCAAAACAUUGAGCUGCCCUCUGUAGGGAGGAUAGCAGCAAUAUUAGGGAAAUGAGUAUUGAGCUUCAAUAGAUGGAAAAACCCCUCAGGGUAUUUAGCUGUUUUAAAAUAUGAGGGUCUGCAGAGUUGCUGAUAAUGAAGAUCUGUAAUAAAACAAUGGAACUCACAGGUAGGCCCUGUAAAGACAGGGAGAAAGCAAAAUGGGUGCUCAAAUUCAAACUGGUGAACCUGCUUUUUGAGGGUGGUGUCAUGCAGGAGAUGGGAUGAAGCAGAGGAGGUGGAUGUGGCAUGGAAGCAUAAACAUGAAACACUUGUGAGAAAUACAUAACAGGUAUCGUGAGAAAUACAUAACAGGUAUCAUGAGAAAUGUGUGGUUACAGAAAAGGUAAUCUAUCUCAAAGCAUGACUCAGGCUGAUUUAUCAGAAAUGCUUUAAAAAGGAAGAAAUGCAAUAGUGACACGAUACGUAAAAAUUGAUAGAGCUACAGUAACUGAAUCAUUUCAAAAUGCAGCAGAAUAGAAAAAUCUACCCUUUAGGCUGCAGCCAAGAAUGACUACACUGGAUAUCAGCAGUGCUCUCCCUUGAGAGUUGGAGGAAUUCCUAUAGCUCAUGACCUGUGCUUGUAUCUAAGUGACAAAUUCCAUGAAAAGCCUAAUUUUCUGUUGAGGCAGUAUCGUGAAGAGCAGAACAUUACCGGUAGGAGCACUUAAAGCAUAGGGAAUAAAUACAGAAAUAAAUAUCCAUGUCACUACUAAAAUGUAUGCUAGGGGUAUGACUGAUCUCUGGGAACAUAUUGGCUGAGCACCUCCUGUGCUGUUAUUGCUAACAAGCAGAAACCAGUGACUUUGCCUAAAGGCUGCACCUUUUCAGCAAGCGGCUGUGUAAAUCACAAGGUAUUGGAACCUGCAGAAAUCUGCAGAGCAGCUUUCCCUUCAAUGGGAUUUAUUAUUUUGUGAACAAAUGCUACUGAGAAGGGUAGGUAUUUCCAUGUUCUAUGUUUUGUACUUGCUAUUUCUUGAAUAAAGAUGAGGAUAUGGAAAAC